rnacentral:lncRNA from 1 species
AGAGUGUGGACUUUGCUCAGAAGCACAGCAUCUGUGAAGCUUUCGGAAAUUAUCCCUCUGGCUCCAGCCCUUUCUAGAGAUCUCCACGCACAUCUCUGCAUGAAGGUUUCAGAGUCACUGGAUUUCCCAGGGCCUUCUCUUUGCUAGGAAUGUCUGAGACGCGCUCUGCAAGAUGAGUUGGCAGCAUCUCUGUGCCUCUGGUUUUGCCAGGCUCCACCAACAUCCCGCUAAGAACUCUUCACCCUCAAGUGCACUGAGGGGAACCCCAGUGAAGGCCAAUGAGGGAAACCACACAUCACUGAGGGCCGACGGAGGCCCCCAAAGCUCAGAUCGCUGUGCUUAUCUGCAGGAUUGAAUGAUUGCUGGGACCACACAAUUUACACUUGGCUCUCGUGGUCCGGAGGGGAGGACUGCGCCAGCAUGAGAAGACCAGAGAGCAAGUAAAUGGAAAUUUGGCGAGAUCCUGUGGCUGCUGUUGGUGGCUGCAGCCAGACAGGAAAACUGAGAUGGUGUGAGCAGAAAGGGCUGGAAGGAGUUGGCUUUUUCCAAGAAAUUACAGCGGAAUCUUCUUCCAAGAGGCUGGGGGCCUCUGCAGACAUGAUCUCAUUACUUACCCCCCAAAUCCCCCAGCUUCCCUACGGACCAAGGACCAGGGGUCUCUGCCCAGUCCUAGCUCCAAGGAAACUCACACUUGGCAGAUUUUCCUAAUCGGAGCUGGCCUUGAAGUUUGCUCACUGAUAAUCACCAGAAAGUCACCCCAACAAUGGGUGAUGCCAGAGUGUCCUCAAGCUUCAAGGGUCCGUAAAAACACUUGACUCCCCCAGGACAAAAAUGACUGGGGGAAACAUGCAGUUCUUCAAAGAGAACGGUUUCAUUCUGU